AGAGGCAAUGAAUCUCAGAUUUACUCCUGUCCAAAAUCAUAUUCACUAAAACAAAACUGCUCCCAUGACAGUGAUGUGGGUCUGGUGUGUGCCGACAGUGUGAAGUUGGUGGAUGGUGGAAGUCGCUGUGCUGGGAGAGUGGAGGUUCUUCAUAGAGGACAGUGGGGAACAAUGUGUGCUCAUAACUGGGAUAUAAAUGAUGGUUCAUUUGUAUGUAGGCAAUUACACUGUGGGGAGCCACUGACUAUGGAUCUUGCUGUAGGAGGAUCAGGACCGAUCUGGAUGAGUAAUGUUGACUGCAGUGGAUCAGAGUCUACACUGAAACACUGUGGGUCACUGGGUUGGGGCAAACAUAGCUGUACUCAUCUUAUAGAUGUGGAAAUUGUCUGUUCAGGUCACAGAAAGCCCAGACUUACUGGUGGUCCUCAUUCAUGCUCUGGAAGAGUGGAGAUGCUUCAUGGAGAGACCUGGUCCACAGUGUGUGAUGCUGACUUUGACCAGCCGGAUGCAGAGGUUGUGUGUCGAGAGCUGGGCUGUGGGCUUCCUGUGGAGGUGCUGGGAGCAGCUGCUUUUGGCAG